UACGAACCGUCCAAACGUUAUUCGGAUUUAUUGGGCUUAAAGGGUAUGUAGGCGGCGCCAUCAGUCGGGUGUGAAAGCCCUCGGCUCAACCGAGGAACUGCGCCCCGAUACUGUGGUGCUUGAGGGAGACAGAGGUAAGCGGAACUGAUGGUGGAGCGGUGAAAUGCGUUGAUAUCAUCAGGAACACCAGUGGCGAAAGCGGCUUACUGGGUCUCUUCUGACGCUGAGGCGCGAAAGCUAGGGGAGCAAACAGG
rnacentral:rRNA from 1 species